rnacentral:rRNA from 1 species
UCGAGGGGUAACAGGGAGCUUGCUCCGCUGACGACCGGCGCACGGGUGCGUAACGCGUAUAGAACCUACCUUUUACUGAGGGAUAGCCUUUAGAAAUGAAGAUUAAUAUCUCAUAGCAUUGAGAAGUGGCAUCACUUUUUAAUUAAAAGAUUUAUUGGGUAAAAAGAUGGCUAUGCGUCCUAUUAGCUAGAUGGUAAGGUAACGGCUUACCAUGGCGACGAUAGGUAGGGGUCCUGAGAGGGAGAUCCCCCCACACUGGUACUGAGACACGGACCAGACUCC